rnacentral:lncRNA from 1 species
UAUAUACAUAUUUAUAUAUACAUAUGGAUGUCACCGUUUUAGGUUUUUUUUUUUUUUUUUUAUUGUGCUCUAAGCAUAAUGAAAAAAGAAAAGUAAAAAACUGAUGGAGUAAAAAAAAGAAAAAAAGGCUAAAGUGGAAUAAUAGUAUUGAGUAAAGUUGUGGCAUAAAGUAGAAAUAUAUAUAUAUAUAUAUAUAUAUAUAUAUAUAUAUAUAUAUAUAUAUAUGUAUGUAACUAGCGGAUAUAUAAGACUUUAAAUAAAAUUUUGAAUUUAUGACGAGUUAUAAAAACAAGUAAAAUUUAACACGUUUAAUAUGUGCACGUAUGUAUGUACAAUUGUGUAUACAUAUGUAUUAAACGAACUGGUAUACGAUAAGAUAAAAAUAAAAGGUAUCGACAAAAUAAGUUUAGGUAAAAAAAAAAAAAAAAAAAAAAAAAAAUCAAUAAAAAAAAAUAAAAAAUAAUAUAAUAAUAUUUAUGGGGAGUUCGUGCACGUAUGUAUAUGUAUACACCUGUGUAAGCACAAAAAUAUAUCACCUUUUAUAGAAAAGGAAAAGCAUUAAAAAAAAAAAGUGUAUACAUGUACAAUUGCAUGUAAAUUCAUACAUAAAUUUAUGCAAGAGUUAAUACAUAUAUAUGUAUAUGUACUGCAGGUACAUACAUUUUAUUUUCUUUCUGUUUUCGCUGUUUUCUCUCAUUUUUCUCAUUUUUCUCUUUUUUUUUUUUUUUUUUUUUUUGCACUAAAAAAUAAUAUUGUCUUUCGUUUUAUUAGUAACAUUAUACAUCACAUCUAGUACUUUCGCAUAUUUAUAAUUCCAAUCCGACAAUCUGUUUAUACAUAUAUAUAUAUAUAUAUAUAUAUAUAUAUAUAUAUUUAUAUUUAUAUAUAUGUGUGUGCAUAUAUGUAUCGAGUAUUUAAAAAAAAAAAAAAAAAACUAUUUUAUUCUAUGCGUUACAAUAUUCGUCAAGAGUGUGUCUUAUUUAACCUAAACUGUACUUUACCUCUUUUUUCUUUUUAUCCAUGUUUUAUCAUCUUUUAUUUAUUUAUUUAUUUAUUUAUUUAUUUGUUUAUUAAUUUAUUUAUUUACUUAUUUUUUAUUUAUUAUUUUUUUUUUUUUGUUUUUUAUUUUUUUUUUUUUUUUUUUUUUUUUUUUUUUUUUUUUUUUUUUU